rnacentral:rRNA from 1 species
UACAGGGGGUGCAAACGUUGCUCGGAAUCAUUGGGCGUAAAGCGCACGUAGGCGGUUCGUUAUGUCGGAUGUGAAAGCCCUUGGCUUAACCGAGGAAGUGCAUCCGAAACUGGCGAGCUAGAGUACGAAAGAGGAUCGCGGAAUUCCUGGUGUAGCGGUGAAAUGCGCAGAUAUCAGGAAGAACACCUAUGGCGAAGGCAGCUCUCUGGGACGGUACUGACGCUGAGACGCGAAAGCGUGGGGAGCGAACAGG